UAUUUCUAAAGUAAUUGCGAAUGAAUUAGAAUAUGUUCAAUUUGACAAAUGGGGCUUUAAGCCUUGACAUGUAAUGUAAAGCUGUUUUGCCAAUGGGACAUUGAAUGUGUGCUUCUUGGAAAAGAGCAGCCAUAAGGGUGAUACUCCUUUCUGCCAUUCAUUUGUUCUUGUGUACUGUACACAUGUGUGGAUUCACACUUUUUGGGAAUGAAGUGCAAAGAGGGUGGUAAGUUUCAUUGAAAAAUUAAUAAAAGCUUGAGACUGAUAGCGCACAAGUACCUUGAGGGAAAAAUGAAAAGGACUUUGAAAAGAAAGUUAAAAUAGCUUCAACUUGCUGAAUGGAAAGCAAACAGACAUCAUAUAUGAUUGAAAGAUUGUCAUUGUGUUGUGUUUCUCAUGUUCCCAUUUGUGUUAUAGUAAUGCUGUGAUGCAUCUUUUUGUAUUGCUAACCUUAGCUCAUGAACUUACAUUGCUUGGUUAUGAGUAUUGCCUGCUGGUACAACAUUGUAACCCAUGACAAUUCGUGUAUAAGCUGCAUUGUUUAUUCAUUGCUUGAUUUCAUGAAUUGGCAACACAAUUGGUCAAUGCGAAGUAACAUAAACAUG
rnacentral:rRNA from 1 species